rnacentral:lncRNA from 1 species
GCGAGCCCGCGCCCCCGUCACCGGGAAACGCCGUAGCCGGCGAUCCGCGGUCGCCCUGGGCUCGGCGCCGGCCCAGCCAGGACCCCGGGAGCGCACGGGACGGGCCUCGCCAGUCACACUCCAGCGCCCCCACGAGCCAGCACAGUGCCUGCUCUCAGUGAAAGGCCACUGUUCUCCUUGGGUGACCCCCAUGAUGCCUGACCGCUCCUCGUGCCUCCUGGAACAGCCAGGGUCCUUAUGAAGUGGUGACCACUCCAGUCAGCAGGGGUGGAAAAUGGUACCAGUCAAACCCGAGGCGGAGGAGGAGCAGCCCGCAGUCGCUGCCGCGAGAUGGAGGAGCCCACGCCCGAGCCCGUCUAUGUCGACGUAGACAAAGGGCUGACCUUGGCCUGCUUCGUCUUCCUCUGCCUCUUCCUUGUCGUGAUGAUCAUCCGCUGUGCCAAGGUCAUCAUGGACCCUUACAGCGCCAUCCCCACAUCCACCUGGGAGGAGCAGCACCUGGACGACUGAGGCACAGCGGCUGUGGGGACUGGACCUGGCGCUCUGUGGGUGGCUGUGCCCCAGGAUGCAUCCGUGUGUUCCCUGCCAGCCUGCCAUCCCACAGAGGCAAGGAAUGAAUCUGGCCACCCAGGGAAACAGAAGGUGCAGCUUAGCCCUCUCAGCCCUCCCUCGAGCACCAGCGUGGAAUGCCCGGGUGCCGUGGGUGUCGCAACCAUGGACCAGCCAGGGGAAAAGAGCCCUGGACCAGGACCCAGGAGGCUGGGGUUCCAGUGUGGGGAGUCCCUGUGAGAUGAUAGGGUAGUCACCUUCCCAGGUUCCUGGGCACCUUUUGGAACUGGAUCCAGCAACAGACACCCCCCAUCCAUCACAUAACAGUGGUCUUGUCUUGAGGAGACUCUCGGUCCUUUAAAUGCAAAGUAGCAAUGGAGGCUCCCAACCAAGAGGUCCCACCUGAACCCCAGCCCCCUCCCCAUGGACUAGCAGUGGUGUGGCAGUGAGGGGGGAAAGCGGGUUGAGGGAGUCUCACCUGAAAAUUCACAAAACGCACAGGAUAUGGGCUGCUUCCAAGCAGUAUUUUUUUAAACUAAAAUAUAGAGGGAUAUAUUUUUCCUGUUAUAAAUAAAAUGUACAUUUUAGAAACUUGGGAAAAUGCAGAUAAAUAGAAAGAAAGGGGGAGGAAAUAACACUUAUAAUCCCACCUCCCGGAAACCACCAUUUUGAUAUAUUUUCUUCCAGCCUUUUUACUUGUAUUUUUUAGUCAAAUUCAUACUCUGUGCAUGAUGUUGUAUCGCCUCAUAUGAUAGCAGGAAUACUUCCCCAUUACAUCAAACACUCUUCUUAGCUGCCAGUUUUAGUGACCGAAGGGCAUCCCAUCGGUUGGGUAGGUCAUGGUUAAAAAAUCAUCUCCUUUGGUUGCAUAUUUAAUUAUUUUCCACUAUUUUUUCCUCACACAAAAUGAUUUCGCCCGGUACCCUUUUUGGGGGUGCACAGUCCAUGAGAUGAAUAUUGAAUGGGGAGACCUGGGUUCUAGUCUCGCAUUUACCAGUCAGGUUACAAUGCGACCUUGAGCAAGUCACUUCACCUCCCAGCGCCUCAGUUUCCUCAUUGUAAGAUAGGAAAAGCCUUGUCAUUUUUAAAAUUUUAUUUUUUGCAUAUACCUCAUGUGAACGAAAGGACAGAAAGGGGAGUGAAUAUACUAUGAAUGUGCUAUAGUCGGAGUUGGGGGGCAAGGAAGAAGUCAUCGAUGAUGGCUCUUCUCAGGCCCUCCCUCCUCCCACCUCUUUCUGCCCUCCACCCCACUCCCACUCCAUCACCUACAUCUAUGACCUUGCAGCAAAAUCAUUAGAGCAGAGCCUACAAAACCGGCCCCAAGUCCCAAUUCCUCUACUUCCUUGUUAGAGGACCCCAAAUAACUCACUCAGCCUCUCUGAGCCCCAAUUUCCUCACCUGUAAAGUGAGGGAAUAACAUCUACCUCGCAAGGUUGUUGUGAGGACGAAAUGAGAGAACAUGGGCAAACAUGAAUGUUCUUGAAUUCACCACCCCAGGAGAAGCCAGGGGUCUGAGCUGGGAGGAGCAGAGGUUCUGGGUGCCCCCUGCCCCUACAGAGCCUGGCACCUUCAGCUUUUCUCAACUUCUGAGGGCUGCUUCCUACAGGCCAAAUCUCCCAGCCGGAACCACUUGGUCAGAGGAACACUCACAGCAGCCUUUCCCAGCACCUGACCUCAAGGGAUAUGGCGUCUACCAAUUUACAUAAUUGCCUUUGUCAUCAGUUUUCCCAUAACAUGGUACGAAGUUAAAUGAGAGCACCUGAGCUCCCCUUCCUCUGAGUGCAUUUAUUCCAUCCCUCCAAGCUGUGGCCUUCCAUCCCCAUCCAAGAGACCUGCAGCUGUGAAGAAGCUCAAGACUUCUUUCUCAUUGCCUGCCUCCCAGCCAUUAGUCCCCACCACAGCCCAGGCCACCUGGAAAAUGGGUUCCAAAGCACUAUCACUACUAGGUGACCCCUGAAUGUGGACAAGGCCACAGCUCUUCAGGCAGCAUUUCAGGGGCUAUCCAGUUGUCAUCCCUCUCAUACCCCUCUCCUACCCACCCCUAUCCCCACUAUUGUGGAAUGCACGAAGGGACAGCUGGCAAAGGCAGUGAACCAAGAUGCAGGGAAGGCCCUGUAUGAUGGGGAGGAUCUAAAGCAAAAGCCUUUUGUGCAUUGCCUCAGGUUCAGCAGCAGCAGCCCUCACUCUGAAGCCUACCUUGAGAAGCCAGGCAUUUCUGUGAAAAGCUCAUCAGCAUGCAUUUACAAUGCAAACUAGAACCAACUCCCAGUCAGCUAAUAACAGACCCCAGGAAAAAGAAAAGGUCUUCCAGACCUCCCCGACACACUUUAGAACCCUCAGGGGUGAAAAAGAGGGUGCUCCAGGGCAGUGCAACUUAAACUGUGGUUGAAGGACAAACAGCCUCUGCAAUACUUGAGGAGCUUGUUAGAAACCCAAACUCACAGCCCCCUCCAGACCUACGUACAGAAUGUAUAUUAGCAAGAUUCGCUAGGUGGUUUAUGUGCACGUUAAAGUUUAAGAAGCACUGCCUGAGAAUCCCUUGGUCCUAAUUAAUUCUUUUCCACACUCAGAUUUGCUAAUGGGUUUCACCUUAUCUCUUGACUCUUGUUUGAUGGCAACAGGAAAUAGUAGCAUUUCAGGAAGGGUGGAAAAUAUAAAAAGCACUCCCAACCCAAGCCUCCAAAAAACAGCAAUUUUCAUUUUGUGUCCAUAUAUUCCCUUCUAAUCAUUGUCCUCAUGCAAGAUUUUUUUUCAUAAAGAUGAUCUGCUACAUAAUUUUAUAUCAUACUCUUUCUCCUAACAUUACAUCACAAGUAUACUUUCAUGUUGCUGCUACAUUCUUCACACUUGUCAUUUUAAUGGCCAUAAAACAUGACAUCUAGUGCACAUAUAUAAUUAUGUAGACUCCUAUUAUUAAAUAUUUGGAUUUCUUCCAUUUUCCCUGUUGUACAUGUUCCAAGCAAAAAAAGAAAGAUCAAGAUAGAUAUGAUGAAGCCGGGGAGCUUGCUUAAGACAGGGGAGAAUAAAUACUUACAGUACACUCUCUCCAUUUAAGAGACACAUGGAGCACAUGGGGGAGGGAGACCUGUCUAAGAACUGGAUCAUAUUAAGGAGAAAAAAGCAACUGGAAUCUCAGGCUUCAGUUGUUGCAUUAUGCUGCUGAAGCAUAGAGGAGAUGGUCCUUUGUGAUCAGAGCGUCUCAACUCGUUUCUGGCAAGCUAAGAUGAACUUUGGGGUUGUGGAUAGAAAGAUAAACUGAUCUGCAAAAGAAAUGCACAGAAGUAUUGAAGGCUAGAAGUUGGCAGACAAGAAAUGAAAAGCAUUUAGAGAAUGGGAGGCCUGUGAAGGUAGCCACAACCCAGGACUUAAGGAGAACACAGGCAAUGGUGCCUAGUGGCCAGUUUUAAGUUGUUGCUUGUACUGUGCUCAGCUACACUCCCUUCAUGUUGCCCCAAGCCCUCUCUAAAGUCUGAUAAAUGAUCCACCACUCUGCAGCAGUGGUCUUUGGGACAAUGAAGACACCUCGGUGGUGGGUCACUUAGGGAAAUACAAUCUGGAAGGGGCCAACAGUCCCAGAGACAAGUGGGGUAGCAGAAAUAUGCAGAACCAAGAGUUCAGAGUGAUGGUCACUAGAAGAAAUGUGGCCUCUAAGGAUGCUCAGACAGGUGGAUAUGUAUAGUAGGACCCUAGCUUUACCAUCCUGGCAUAUCAUUCCCAUCAUAGCUAUUUCAUUUUUUUCCAAUUAGUUGCUGAAAUGUCUACAUGUUCUUAUCGAGUUGAAAGAUCAGUGUCUCCCUGUCUCAUUAAAUUUCCAGAACUUCAGAGGCUAAAUCAAUCCAAAAGGGGCUGGCCCUGCUUUCAAACACCAAGUGAAGAGAACUACAAAGUUUGGUGUGUCCACUAGUGUGGUUUCAUACCCCCUAGGUCUUGCUGUUGAGGACUGGUUCUGCCAGGCAUGAUCAAUGACCACCCACAAUGUCCUGUGGCCCAGCCUGUGGAGAGGUGCCCAAACAGAGUUAUCUGGGUCCACAUCCAUGUGCCCAGCUAUUCUGUCCAAUCAUAGCACAAAGACAGGUUGCCUGUGUCCAGAGGGACACACAGCCUCAGGCACACCAGCCCUUACUUAUGAGCUUGAUGGUCAUCAGCAAAGACUCUCUCCCUUUAGGAGGGUUCUCCUUGGGACUUUUCAGUGUCUUGGCAGGAAAGAGAUGGCACACACGAAGCACUGAUUGAAGACAGUUUAAUGAAAGAAUAUUUACAGAGGUUGGGCAAGGGUAUGGAAAACAACAGGGAACAGUAAAACACCCAGGGAUGACAAGGCAAGGUAGCUCAUGUCUGUAAUCUCAGCACUUUGGGAGGCCAACACAGGCAGAUUGCUUGAGCCCAGGAGUUUGAAACCAGCCUGGCAACAUAAGCAAGAAUCUGUUUAUCUACAAAAAAUAAAAUAAUUAAAAAAAAAUUACCUGGCUGUGGUGUUGCACACCUAUAGUCCCAGCUACUCAGGAGUCUGAGGUGGGAGGAUCACUUGAGUCCAGGAGUUUGAGGUUACAAUGAGCUAGGAUCACACUACUGCACUCCAGCCUAGGCGACAAAGAGAGAUGCUGUCUCUAAAAAUAAAAAACAAAAACAAACUACCCAGGAACAGGCAGGCCACCAACUGUUACCAUCUCUUGCCUAGAGAGACAAGGAGAAGGAUCUAGAACCCAGGGAGAGCUAUAGCCAUGGAGAAGGAGUCACCCAAUGGAAGCCCUGGCCACAGCUAGAGGAUCAAAACUCCUGCACCCACUGCAGCUCAGUAGGAAGAGAGCUGGGGGAAUAAAUACCUUGACCUCUUGCCUCCUGCCCUCCAAUCUCCUGUCUGGGUCUUCCAUUGGCCAAAAACAACAGAAGCUAAAGGUCAGGGGACCCUGGGUGAUACGGUCCACAUAGGCAGCACACUGGAGCAAAAGAAGAAAAACCAGCACAAUUCAUCUUAUUACCACUUAGCAGCCAUUCACAAACUUUGCUUAGAUGGGAGAAAAAUAUUUUGUCCCCGGCACAGGGGAAACAUAAAAUCUCACCAGCAGCCAUAUUGUCUGGGGGUGAUAGCAAUUUAGUCCCACUCCCUCCUGCAACUUAAAUCAUAAUGUAGCCAGUCCCGGGUAAGUGGAACACUUCCUGUAAAGCACAACUGCUAGUGCCCCCUUCUGUGGCUGGUCAUGAGGCCCAGAGUGGUAACUGCAGUCUUGUUCUCCCACCACCCAUUCCAUAGCCCCUCUACUUUCUGGCAGUCCCUUAGCUGUUGGAGAAUUUUAUCUGGUGGAAUGACCCAAAUCUUCAUCCACAGAGGAUUCAAAUUCUUAGUGCCGUGUCUUCAAUGAGUUGCCACAGUAUCCACAGAUUCCUAAAGAACAUGAAGAGGCCUUGAAGAUCUCACCUGGAAGCUCUGUAAAAUUAUCAGAAAGAAUAGCAGGUGCUCUAGGGCAACACUACUCAAACUAUGGUCCACGGAUGGACAGCAUUGGCAUCUCUGGGGAGCUUGUUAGAAAUCUAAUUUCAUGCCCCCACCUCAGGCUUACAGAAUGAGGACAAGGGAUACAGGGAGUACCAAGUGCCCUAGCGAAUCCCAGGGUUCCAAAGCUAGUACUCCUUGCCCCUAUUGUGUAGCAGAAACCCCACUUUCCCUUGGAUAUUGGGGUUAACCAUCCUGACAGUGCAGUGAUCUCUUUCUCUGCCAAUAUUUCAACAUAAGGAGCCCCAGAUGGCACAAGAUCAUCUUCCAAUUUAACAGACCCAUAACUAUAUUCCCUGGUGGAAGCAGUUCCUCUUGGUCACUAGAGAUUUCCAAACCCACAAAACCUAAGGUUUCUUGGUUAAAGGCCAUGUUUGUGGGAUAUGCUGAGAUGAAUAUGCUGUGGUUUGAAUGUGUCCCCCAAAGUUCAUAUGUUGGAAACUUGAUUCCCAUUGCAACAGUGUUGAGAUCUGGGGCCCAAUGAGAGGUGAUUAGGCCAUGAGGGCGGAGUGAAUGGAUUAAUGCAGUUAUCUCAAGAGUGGGUUUGUUAUGAAGGGGGUGUUUGGUCCUCUUUUCUCUCUUGCCCAUGUGAUUCCUUCCACCAUGUUUAUGAUGCAACAAGAAGGUCCUCACCAGAUGCUGGUUCCUUGAUCUUGUAUUUUGCAGCCUCCAAAAUCGUGAGCCA